UCCCACAGUUGUGUGAUUACCUCUGCCUG
rnacentral:piRNA from 1 species